ACGCUCGACACCUACGGGAGGCAUCAGUGAGGAAUAUUGGUCAAUGGGGCGCUAGCCUGAACCAGCCAAGUAGCGUGAAGGAUGAAGGCUCUAUGGGUCGUAAACUUCUUUUAAUAUAAGAAUAAAGUGCAGUAUGUAUACUGUUUUGUAUGUAUUAUAUGAAUAAGGAUCGGCUAACUCCGUGCCUGCAGCCGCGGUAAUCUGAGCGGGCUGGCAAGGC
rnacentral:rRNA from 1 species